rnacentral:rRNA from 1 species
UCGAGGAUCAUUUUUGCAAUGGGCGAAAGCCUGACAAUGCGACGCUGCGUGGAGGAUGAAGGCCUUCGGGUUGUAAACUCCUGUCAUAAGGGAACAGGCGAUGGGUGCUAAUACCAUCCAAAGUUGAGUGUACUUUAAGAGGAAGGGACGGCUAACUCUGUGCCAGCAGCCGCGGUAAUACAGAGGUCCCUAGCGUUGUUCGGAUUUACUGGGCGUAAAGGACACGUAGGCGGUACGGCGUGUCGAGUGUGAAAUCUCCGGGCUCAACCCGGAAAGUGCGCUCGGAACUACCAUACUAGAGUACGGGAGAGGGAAUCGGAAUAUAGGGUGUAGCGGUGAAAUGCGUUG